CCAAAAAAAAAAAAUCUUGUGUGUUCUCAGACACCAUCAAUGGAGUUUCGAGAUGGUGAUUGAUUGAAAUAGAUGUGAAUAAUCUCUUUGUUGUGCUUCAUUCGCGUCGUUUAGUCUUCUAUUUUACCGAAACGCUCGGUGUUACAGAUUCAUUGCCUUUACCUUCUUAACUCCAUAGAAUACGAUUUGACAUUGAAUAAGCUAUCACUUUGCAAGGCUGUAUUUUUACACCUAUAAAAUGGUUAGCAUUCUUCUCUUCCAUAUCAUCCUCUCAAUCUGUAAACUUACUUUCUGUCUCUCCUCUUCAUCUUCCUACUGCCAUAUCCUCAUCUCUAUCGCUUAUGUUUUCCAUCAACAUGUCCUCCUAUUCAGGGUGGGCAUGGGACGCCCGUGACAUGUGAGAUUAUAAGUUCUUUUGGUCGGAUCAGCUGCGAUUGUAAUCUGUCUCUCUUUGGAUCUUUUUUGGUUGUGGUCAUGAUGUGGUUAGUCGAAUGACAUUUCAGGGUUGCUACACGAGAUGCUUAGAUCUAACAAAACAAGAGAUUAAAAAGAUUGGAAGGUGUUUUCACAAUAUCUACGGACGGAAGAAAAUUUUGCUUUCUCAAACUAAAGCACUUGCAAACCAUUCCCAGAGUUUAUUCAUACAACAUCACCAAAGAAGAAAUAGAUACUUCUUUUUCUUUUGUUAUUCGCUUUGUAUUUUUAUUUUAAUUAAUACACAAUCUCCUCAUGUUCAAACAAGUUCUAUAAGAGAUUGAUGUCAGGUUGGAAGAAGAAAAUAAGCUAAUUAAGUAAUGGUGUUCACAAGUUUUGAUGUUCACAAUUGAAUAGUUGUGUCCUGAGUCCUGACAAAGCCAUGACAGGCUGCUCUCUUGACCAAGUUGUGAUACUAUUACAUCAGAUGAUCAGAGUAAAAACAGCUCACAUGUGAGAACUGAUACAGAGAGAAAUGUCUCACCAACAUAUUUAUGGAGGCUCUCCUUCUGCACAUCUAAACCUUGGCGAUUGGUACAUUCAUCAGCUCCUGCUAAUAUGUUUGUAUUGGAGACAUAACUAAUGACAUAUUUUCAAGAUUACUAUGGUUGGAAUCUUGGAGUAAUGAACAUGUUAUUCCAAGGAGGAAUAUACAGAGUCUUACGUGCGAGAAUAGGCAUCACUCCUACAUUGCUGUGGCUGGGCCAGCCUGGUUGUAGUUUCUGCUUGCUCAAGAAAGCAGAAAUGCUUGAUGCAAGAGCGCAGUAGUUUUAAUCAAUGUCUUUUUUAUAACGACAGGUCGACCCUUUUAGUUCUCCUGUUUUGUCUU